rnacentral:misc_RNA from 1 species
AAUCGAGAUAAUCAAAUUUAUUAGCUAUUCUAAGUACCGAACUAGCGGCAACUUGAUUAAUUUGACAAAUCACUUAAUUCAAUCAACAAAUUCAGCUAUACCUAACGUCAAACGCACUAUUUAAAUUUUUUACAGUAUGUUAUAGGUAAACUGAUCUUUGCAUUUCAACUUUAAUUGUCAAGGUAUCCUCCUCGGAGAUACUCAUCAUGAGAAUUGAGCAAAGUUUUCUGAGAGUCACCAUGUAUAAACACCUGACGAUUGAAUGACACGAUUCUUCUGCUCGAUGGCUGAAUAUAUCAGCAUCUGUUCAGAAUAUCUAAACCGUAUAUGCCACAGAUUGUACUCCCUACACUGUACUAACUGUUUGGUCUAAGACUAAGGUAUGAUUCAUGGAAAAAUAGUGAGCUAUGGCAACAAUUCGCACAGUUAUUCCAGAUGUGAGCGCACUUUGUUUGAAACAAACUCUAAACCUUUUUAACAUUGGUAUCUUGU